rnacentral:rRNA from 1 species
GACGAACGCUGGCGGCGCGCCUAACACAUGCAAGUCGAACGAGCGAGAGAGAGCUUGCUUUCUCAAGCGAGUGGCGAACGGGUGAGUAACGCGUGAGGAACCUGCCUCAAAGAGGGGGACAACAGUUGGAAACGACUGCUAAUACCGCAUAAGCCCACAGGUCGGCAUCGACCAGAGGGAAAAGGAGCAAUCCGCUUUGAGAUGGCCUCGCGUCCGAUUAGCUAGUUGGUGAGGUAACGGCCCACCAAGGCAACGAUCGGUAGCCGGACUGAGAGGUUGAACGGCCACAUUGGGACUGAGCCACGGCCCAGACUCCUACGGGAGGCAGCAGUGGGGAAUAUUGCACAAUGGGGGAAACCCUGAUGCAGCGACGCCGCGUGGAGGAAGAAGGUCUUCGGAUUGUAAACUCCUGUUGUUGAGGAAGAUAAUGACGGUACUCAACAAGGAAGUGACGGCUAACUACGUG